ACUUCUAUUGAUAACAGGGAUAAGAGGGAAACCCUCUAAUUUUGCCUAAGUGUUUUGAUAAUCAGCAGUAAUGGGAAAAAGCAGAAGAACGUCCAUCAUCGCUUUAAUGGUAAAGUCUUACUGAGACAAAGGAAUAGAUGGAAGAAAUAAAGACACAGCAGUGAACCAAA
rnacentral:lncRNA from 1 species